AUUGAACGCUGGCGGCAUGCCUUACACAUGCAAGUCGAACGGCAGCACGGGAGUAAUCCUGGUGGCGAGUGGCGAACGGGUGAGUAAUAUAUCGGAACGUGCCCAGUCGUGGGGGAUAACGCAGCGAAAGCUGUGCUAAUACCGCAUACGAUCUCUGGAUGAAAGCGGGGGACCGUAAGGCCUCGCGCGAUUGGAGCGGCCGAUAUCAGAUUAGCUAGUUGGUGGGGUAAAGGCCCACCAAGGCGACGAUCUGUAGCUGGUCUGAGAGGACGGCCAGCCACACUGGAACUGAGACACGGUCCAGACUCCUACGGGAGGCAGCAGUGGGGAAUUUUGGACAAUGGGCGCAAGCCUGAUCCAGCAAUGCCGCGUGCAGGAUGAAGGCCUUCGGGUUGUAAACUGCUUUUGUACGGAACGAAACGGCGAGCUCUAAUAAAGUUUGCUAAUGACGGUACCGUAAGAAUAAGCACCGGCUAACUACGUGCCAGCCGCCGCAGUAA
rnacentral:rRNA from 1 species